rnacentral:rRNA from 1 species
AACGAACGCUGGCGGCAUGCCUAACACAUGCAAGUCGAACGAGAUCUUCGGGUCUAGUGGCGCACGGGUGCGUAACGCGUGGGAAUCUGCCCUUUGGUUCGGAAUAACAGUUGGAAACGACUGCUAAUACCGGAUGAUGACGAAAGUCCAAAGAUUUAUCGCCAGAGGAUGAGCCCGCGUAGGAUUAGCUAGUUGGUGUGGUAAAGGCGCACCAAGGCGACGAUCCUUAGCUGGUCUGAGAGGAUGAUCAGCCACACUGGGACUGAGACACGGCCCAGACUCCUACGGGAGGCAGCAGUGGGGAAUAUUGGACAAUGGGCGAAAGCCUGAUCCAGCUAUGCCGCGUGAGUGAUGAAGGCCUUAGGGUUGUAAAGCUCUUUUACCCGGGAUGAUAAUGACAGUACCGGGAGAAUAAGCUCCGGCUAACUCCGUGACAGCAGCCGCAGUAA